rnacentral:tRNA from 1 species
CUAUUUAUGAGAAUUAUUUCUCUCUUAUCA